CGAUAGCUCAGUGGAUAGAGCGUCUGCCUCCGGAGCAGAAGGUCGCAGGUUCGAAUCCUGUUCGG
rnacentral:tRNA from 2 species